UACGUAGGGUGCGAGCGUUAAUCGGAAUUACUGGGCGUAAAGCGUGCGCAGGCGGUUCGUUAAGUUCGUUGUGAAAGCCCCGGGCUCAACCUGGGAACUGCAAUGGAAACUGGCGGGCUUGAGUAUGGCAGAGGGGGGUGGAAUUCCGCGUGUAGCAGUGAAAUGCGUAGAGAUGCGGGGGAACACCGAUGGCGAAGGCAGCCCCCUGGGCCAAUACUGACGCUCAGGCACGAAAGCGUGGGGAGCAAACAGG
rnacentral:rRNA from 1 species